UACAGAUAUGCCAAGGAAGACGAGAAGUGGGAGAGAAAGAAGAAGGAAAGACAGGAGAAGUCUAAUGAAAGGAGAGCAGAGAGGAAGUCAAGGACCGAUGAGAUCAGGCGUAAAUAUGGGCUGAUGAAAGAUGACAAUUAUCAGCGAUUUGACAACGAGGCCUAAGAUAGGGAGGGACCACAUCGGGGGGAUACCUGGCCGGUCCAGAGGUAAGGAGAUACCACAAGGAGAACCUUCAGGAUAUAAAUAGCUCGUCACCACCCAAUGAUGUAAACAUUUGUUCACAGAGACCACUGGUCUCUUCAUUCAUAUUUUAUGAUCGCAAUGUCACAUAAUGUUCCUUCAUUUUGUUCAUGUUUUAAAAAAUUGUCAAACUGUACAUGGGGUAUUGGUGCUUUAAAUAUAGGAUGAUUUGUGUCACAGCAUAAAAGUUUAGAUUCUAGCUAUCGAGUAUCAAUGUACAAAGUCAUAUUUUUGAAAUAGACAAAAGUAAUAGCUCUAGAUUAUUCAAUUACUUAAUUUUACAUUAUUGUUUAAUUUGUAUCUUAAAUGGAAACAAAACGUCAUAUUUUUUUUUAGGAAUGGUUGUACUUGUACAUGUAAUUUUGUUUUUACAUGUAUUGAAAAUUUUGAAAAUUAUUAGUCCUUACCAAUAAUUCUUACUUUGGUAGAUGUUAAAUUUUUUUUGUUGUUUUAAUCUUUGAAUCUUUUUUGGAAAAAAAGGGAAAAUCCUCAGCUACAGUGCUGGUGAAAAUGAUUUAUUUUUUAUAAAAAGAAUUCCAAAAAUUUGCAGGUGGACAAAUACAAACUUGUACAAAACUCUGUAUGUAUUUGUGUGACUUAUCUUUAUUGAUCUCAAGAAUAGGGAAAAUCCUAUCAAAUGAGUUGAUUUGUGAGAAUUGUUUUAUUUUUAAAGAAUUUGAACAAAAAAGUCAGAAAUUAAUUUUAAAAGAACUGAUUCAAAUAUUCCAGCUUUGUUAAGGUAAUGUUAACUUUCACAUCCCCCAAGCUCAAUUGUCAUUGUUUAGUUUAAUUUUUGAUAUGUCUACAUAAACCUUACCAGUAAUCUGUUUUGUUGUGACUUUAAAUUCUUAUUGAUAAAUCCUGAGAUUGUGAUUUUUUUAAGAAGAAAGUUUUGUGUCCUACAUUUAUUAAUUUUCAGAAUAUUUUAAGGAAUUAAAAGAAUUUUUUGACAAAUAUUUUUGAUGGAAUACUGUAAAAUUACGUAUUUUUAUGGAUUCAGAUUUAUUUUAAAAAAUUAUAUUGGUUCAAAGGGAUAUGAUUUCAAUGUAAAUGUUGUGUCCAUUUGAAAUUUUAGUUUGUUUUGGAGGGCAUCUGGGUCUCUUCAUGCUACACAAACAACAACAAAUUAACCAUUCCAUGAAAAUAAGAGAUUUCACAGUAUUGCUUUGUAGUACUUAGUAAAUACUUAAAAAUUAAAAGAGUAAACUAAGAUAAAUAUUUUUUUUCAAUUUAUGAUGCAAAUUAAUUCCAGUCCUAGCUAUUCUGUCCUGAAAUGACUUAGGUACAUGUAAAUUGGUAUUUGUACUACAUGUACUUUUACCAACAUGUUAUAAAAUGUGCUUUCAGCAUGUUAUAGUCUUUUGUUUUUUAUUUUGUCAUAUACCAAGUUUGUACAUUGUACUGUAACAGAAGAACUAUAUUUUUGUAACAUUUUUAUUGAUCGUUCAAUGUAUUUUUUGGUUGGCUUGAUAUUUUAUUUGCUUCAGUGGUUUAUACAUAAUAUGUUUUCACAGAAAGAUGAUUUUCUUUUGAGACGGAAAAAAGUUUCAUUUCCAAAGUCUUCGUUUCAAAAAUAUUAAAAAGUGUUUUCUGUUGCUUGCAGAACAAAAUUUUUUGAAAACAUUGCAUUUUUAAACAUUGAUUUUUUGAAAUUAAUUUUUGUAGCAAUGGUAGAUUGUAGAUAUUGGAAUUCCUUUGAUAUAAGAAAUUGGAAUUCCUUUGAAAACUCAAAAUUGAUUUUUCCCACAAAGGCACAUGUUUUAAUUCUAGAAAUAUGUAGUAAUAUGAUUAUAUUCUUCACUUAUAUUUAAAUAUUUGAUGUACAUGUAAGCAUAACAAACACUUGGAGAGAGAGAGAGAGAGAAAGAGAGAGAGAGGAAAAUGUGACCAAUAUUUUCAUUACAGCAUUUAAAUUACAACAGACUUUUUAAAAUGUCUACAAACUUCUGCAAUUGUCCUCAAUAUUUAGUAGCUUCACUGCUAGUAUUUUGAGCAUUUGUUGAGUUCUAUUAUCAGACUUAAAAAUGAUGUAAAACAUGUGUCAGAAGAAAAAGCAUAUUUCAAAAGACAAAAGAUUUUUAUGUAAAUCACUAUAAAUUAUUAACAUUGAUAAGCAGGUAAUCUUAUGUUAAAUUGGACAUUUUUUUUCUUUUCAGUUAUAAUAUGUAUGCACAUUAUGAUAAUCAUACAUGUACUAACAUGUAUGUAUAUUUAGUGCAUGUACAUAAUAUUUAGUGUUAAGCAAUUUGGUUUCUUUGAUGAGUAGCUGAUAUAAUAAUUUCAAUCAAAAUUGUGCUUUUUUUCAUCAUUUUGUGUGAUAUGAAAUAUUUUGAUAAAACUACAAUCAGACUAAU